CCCCCGGCCGCCGCCACACCCCUCCUCUCCCCGGCCUCGCCGCCGCCGGAGCGUGUCGCCGGAAACCGUGCGGCCGCCUCGACGCAAAGGGGCGGCACGGAGCUUCGGGAAGGCCGCGGCGGCGGCGAGGUGAGGGGCGGCGGAUCCGGCGCCGCCACCACCGGAUCCGGCGCCCAGCAUCGGCCACAAGGCGAGUGGCGGCUGGAUCCAGCGUCUCCGCUGCCGGAUCUGAGCCGUGGUGAGCAUGGCGGAUGCGGCGACGCCGGUGGCGCGACGGUCGUGGCUGGUCGGCGGUGGUGCGGGAGUGUGGCGUCGGCGGGGAGACGCGGCGUUGGUGGCAAGCGCUACUGCCGGGGGCGCGGGCGGCCGCAGCAGGCGCAGUGGCGCGACAGCCGUGGCUGGCCGGCGGGCGGCUGUGGCCGGCAGCGCGACAUGACGGCCGUGGCUGGCUGGCGACGGCGAGGCCGCCACGGCAGCGAUAGUGCCGGCGAGCUGGCGGAUGGUGGCGGGGUUGAGUUGGGCGUCUAUGGUUCUGGUGGUGGUGGUGACGGCGUCAUGGUGGUUCAAGGCACGCGGGGAUGGCGAUGGCGGCGGGGAUGGCGUCAGUCGAGGGCGCGAAGGCGGCAUCAUUGGUCCCUGCGCGGCGACGUCGCGGUGCUCGGUGGUGGCGGCACCUCUCGGCUGGAUCUGGAGGGUGGCCGGCUGUGGUGGUCGGCGACGGCGGGCGACUUGCGACGGCUGGCGACGGCAGUUGGCGACGGCAGCGAGGUGGUCGCGGCAAUUGGCAGCAACGGCUGGCGGCCGGUCACGCUUAGCGGCGGCCGGUCCGGUGCUAGCCUUUUCCUGGGCUUGUGUGUUGGCGAUGUCGGUGUGUGGGUGGUGGUAUUUUUUUUUCUUUUUCCUGGUUACAACUCUCCAGGGUUAUAA
rnacentral:lncRNA from 1 species